rnacentral:miRNA from 1 species
UCAACCGGAAUAACACGCUCA